UACGGAGGGUGCAAGCGUUAUCCGGAUUCACUGGGUUUAAAGGGUGCGUAGGUGGGUUGGUAAGUCAGUGGUGAAAUCUCCAGGCUUAACUUGGAAACUGCCAUUGAUACUAUCAAUCUUGAAUACCGUGGAGGUCAGCGGAAUAUGUCAUGUAGCGGUGAAAUGCUUAGAGAUGACAUAGAACACCAAUUGCGAAGGCAGCUCACUACACGGUCAUUGACACUGAGGCACGAAAGCGUGGGGAUCAAACAGG
rnacentral:rRNA from 1 species